GGGGUGUAGCUCCAAUUGGCAGAGCAGCGGAUUCCAAAUCCGCGUGUUGGGAGUUCGAAUCUCUCCACCUGCCA
rnacentral:tRNA from 1 species